rnacentral:rRNA from 1 species
UACAGAGGGGGCGAGCGUUGUUCGGAAUUACUGGGCGUAAAGGGCGCGUAGGCGGCCUCUUAAGUCGAACGUGAAAUCCCCGGGCUCAACCCGGGAACUGCGUCCGAUACUGGGAGGCUUGAAUCCGGGAGAGGGAUGUGGAAUUCCAGGUGUAGCGGUGAAAUGCGUAGAUAUCUGGAGGAACACCGGUGGCGAAGGCGGCAUCCUGGACCGGUAUUGACGCUGAGGCGCGAAAGCCAGGGGGAGCAAACGGGG